rnacentral:misc_RNA from 1 species
CUGGCUCCGUGCUGGUCCACCGAACGGUCGGCAUGCAAUCCGCUUCGGUUGUAGGGAGGUGUGCCCGUUCAUCAUUGGCUGGUUCUUGUGUCCCCUACCCGUUAUGGGGAAGCAGGACACUCAAUGCCAAUCCGUCAUGCGCCUCUUGUUUGGCGCAGGAGGACGAUGAGGCGCCCCCUGUGUUCCGUCGAGCCCUUGUUGGUCGGGCGGCCCAUGGGGGCGUGCAGUGCUCUCGGACCCAGCGAACAUUUCGGACGGGGACUCCGGUCCCGGUCCUAACAGAAAGCUUUCGUACGAUGUGUGACGGCCGUCCUCGCCCCUUGGUCGCCCCGGCGUGCCAAGGGCGAGGGGCGGCGUCCCCAAGGGCUGCUACCUGGUUGAUCCUGCCCAGUAGUCAUAUGCUUGUCUC